rnacentral:rRNA from 1 species
AGUGAACGCUGGCGGUAGGCCUAACACAUGCAAGUCGAACGGCAGCACAGUAAGAGCUUGCUCUUACGGGUGGCGAGUGGCGGACGGGUGAGGAAUACAUCGGAAUCUACUUUUUCGUGGGGGAUAACGUAGGGAAACUUACGCUAAUACCGCAUACGACCUACGGGUGAAAGCAGGGGAUCUUCGGACCAUGCGCGAUUGAAUGAGCCGAUGUCGGAUUAGCUAGUUGGCGGGGUAAAGGCCCACCAAGGCGACGAUCCGUAGCUGGUCUGAGAGGAUGAUCAGCCACACUGGAACUGAGACACGGUCCAGACUCCUACGGGAGGCAGCAGUGGGGAAUAUUGGACAAUGGGCGCAAGCCUGAUCCAGCCAUACCGCGUGGGUGAAGAAGGCCUUCGGGUUGUAAAGCCCUUUUGUUGGGAAAGAAAAGCAGCAGGUUAAUACCCCGCUGUUCUGACGGUACCCAAAGAAUAAGCACUGGCUAACUUCGU